CAAAGAUUUUCCUUCACCAUCUAUCUUUUAUCCCUUCAUAUCAUAUUCCCCUUUGGUCCCUCUAUCUUUUAGACCUCUAUUUAUAACACCACCAUUCCCCUCUCUUCUCUAAGUAUAAAAGAUUUGAGAAGAUGUAGAUAAAACGCAGUUAGGAUCUCUUUUUUCUUACCGUGGUAGGAAUCGAGAAAGUGCUUGUUUCAUCAUCGUGCACUUGUAUCAAUUGAAGCUGCCAGCUUGAUCUAAACUUUUCUUGUUUGUUCAGGGAAGGUCAGAUCAUAUGGCAGCUUCAUUUGACGCCUGUGACACGAAAAUAUACCCUAAUAUCAGCAUAAUCAUUUAGGGUUUCUUUUGGUGGAGAAGAUUGGUCUUUUUGGAGUAAAGAAAUGUAAGGAAAAUAUUGGUGGAUUGUAAGUAUUUUUUUUAACAAGAAUUCUUAUUUGACUCUCGAAAUCUAUGAUUCAAAGAACCCUAAAUAUGCUUCGGGUGGUGA